rnacentral:misc_RNA from 1 species
GAAAUGCGAUAAGUAAUGUGAAUUGCAGAAUUCAGUGAAUCAUCGAAUCUUUGAACGCACAUUGCGCCCCCUGGUAUUCCGGGGGGCAUGCCUGUUCGAGCGUCAUUUCACCACUCAAGCCUCGCUUGGUAUUGGACAACGCGGUCCGCCGCGUGCCUCAAAUCGACCGGCUGGGUCUUCUGUCCCCUAAGCGUUGUGGAAACUAUUCGCUAAAGGGUGUUCGGGAGGCUACGCCGUAAAACAACCCCAUUUCUAAGGUUGACCUCGGAUCAGGUAGGGAUACCCGCUGAACUUAAGC